GGCUGUGGCUGUGGCUGUGGUGGUGGUGGUGGUGGUGGCGGCGGCAGCGGGGGUGGGCGCAGCGGGGCCGUCCCGAGUCCCGGAGGCGGUGACAGGUGGGCCGGGGUCCCCCGUGUCCCCGAGCAGGCCUAGGCCCGCAGCCGCUGUCUGCAGGAAGAGCAGCGAGCCCUGCUCGGCGGCCAGCGUGAGGGAGCCGUCCAGGUUGACAGGCGCACCCGGAGAGGCUGCGGGAGGCUCCCCUCGCUCCUGCUUCUCGUGCUUGCGCUUGUGCGAGUCCAUCUGCGACAUGCCCACCACUGUGUGGCGACAGCCCGGAUAGGUGCAGUGGAAGUGCGAGCACUUGAGCUUGUACUUGCAGUCGGGCACUGCGCAGUCGGCGCUCGAGCUGAACUGGCAGAAGCCAGCGGCGCUGAUCACGUCCUGCUUGCCGUGGUGCUUGCGGUGCGCAGUGACCUUGGUGCUGUCUGUGCAACGGAAGCGGCAGCGCAGGCAGUGGAAGUGCGUGCUGGUGCCCGAGAACGGGCAGUCGGCGAAGUGGCAGCUGAGGGAGGCCUUGAAGCGCUUGAAGUCGUCCAGCACCAGGUUGUCCACGCGGUCGUGGUGCUGUGCGUGCUUGUACAUGUGCGUGCGUCCGCAAAACUUGUAGCCGCAGUUUUCCCGCGUGCAGUGGUAGUGGGUGACCUUGAGUGAGAACUGGCAGGCUGUAUCCUUGCAGUCCUCAUAGAGGUCAAAGCGCCGGAAACCCUCCAGCAUCAUGCCCUCGUCCAGCAUCUUCCGAGACGAGGCUGUCUUCCUUCGCUUGCCAAAGGGAGACAUGUCCUCGAUGAUCCAAAAGCGCUUUUUGGCCCCCGAGGCUGUCGGCAUGGAGAUGGUGUUCCCUAGGGAGUAGCGGAGAGAGGUCAGCGUGGAAGGGGUACCCUUUUGGCAGCGGGUGCUGGAACAGCUACGGUCCAUGGUGGAAGACUCUGAGGACGCCGCUCCAGGGCUACAGCCUGUAUAGUCCAUGCCCUCGUCUGUCUCGGCAUCCAUUAGGCUCGGGGGACCCUGGAAGAAAGGAGAGGGGCCCUAAGUUCUGGACUGUCUCAGCCGUCUACGGAGGGCCCAGACUGGAGGUGACAGCAACCUCCAGGAACUCCAAAGGCCCCUACCACCGUGAGCACAUGACCAGGAGAGGCCUGCCCGGUAGACACCACAUCUAUCCACCCGCCCUUCCCUAUCUUCCAGCUUCCGGUCCAUUCCUAGGAAAAUUCUGCCCCACAUCUGCAGGUCUAUAGAAGCUUGCCCUGCGCCUAAAUUUGCCUCUGCCUGUGGGCCUGAGGCUCUUCUCUAUAGGGCCAGAGCAGGAAGGUAUCCGAGAGGCAUCGAAAGACACCCGCUGCCAAGCUCAGAAGCACCCGGAGCCUCCGUCUCUGGCACCUCACGUACCUCAGUUUUUGUAAGCAUGUGCUAAAGGCUUUACAAAGUAAAUAAAUAACUGAAAUGGCAAA